rnacentral:ncRNA from 1 species
GUAAAGUUUUAUUCUUGCUUGAUAAUUUACUUAAAAUUUGUUUCACAUGUUAGUUAUUGCGUGAUUUUUAUAUCUUCUUAAGGAAUUUGUAAUUUAAAUUUAUUCGCAGUGUUUAAUCUUAUUAAUCAAAGAAGUUUGGAAUUAGUAAUAUUUUAUAGUACCGGCAAAAAUCGUGCCAGCCGCCGCGGUUACACGGAGGGUGCAAGUAAAUAUUAUUAGUUAGUAGUUAUAUGAAAAAGUACAGAAAUUAAUAGUGAUUUUGUUAGGUGAAAUUUUAAAAUCAGUGAAUUUCUUAAACUAGUAUAGAAGCUAUGAAAUUUAAAUAGUAAACUAGGAUUAGAUACCCUAUUAUUUUAAACGUAAAAAUUUAUACUAGAGUAGUAAUAGUUAUGUUCUUGAAACUCAAAGAAUUUGGCGGUGUUUUAGUCUUUUCAGAGGAACCUGUCCCGUAAUCGAUAAUCCACGUAAAACCUUACUUAAUUUUGUUUCAGCUUGUAUACCUCCGUCGUCAGAAUAUCCUUGAAAGGUUUGAAUUUUCUUAAAUUUUAAUUAAAAAUGAUGUCAGGUCAAGGUGCAGCUUAUGAUUAAGUGGAGAUGGGUUACAAUAAAUGUAUUUAUAACGGAUUUUAAUUUGCAAUAAUUAUUUGAAGGUGGAUUUGACAGUAAUUCAAUUUAUUAAGAUAGUUUGAUUUUAGCUCUAAAACAUGCACACAUCGCCCGUCGCUCUCGUUCUUUAAGGCGAGAUAAGUCGUAACAUAGUAGGUGUACCGGAAGGUGCACCUGGAAAGUC